ensembl:lncRNA LINC00710 long intergenic non-protein coding RNA 710
AGAUACGCCCCUUGGAUGCCUGCAGAGAAGCUCUGGGGCUUCAGUCAAUGACUCAGGGUAGCCACCGAACAUGAUGCUCGGGCAGUGGGUGCCACCUGGACUCCACUCUCCCCUCUCUCUGGGAUCAUAGAGUCCAAGGUGUUCUGUGGCCUCUCGGCCAAUCCCAGCAGCUCAGCGUGCAGAAGACCGAGGAGCCAUUGGUCAGUGUAGGAGGUGCCUGGAGUUUUGGAGAUGGGAUCCACAGGAAUUCAACACAACACGAAAUAAUCAACAAAUUCGGGGAAUGUUAAUCUGACCAUCACCAGUUACAAAUGAUGUUUCAUGCUACCUUCUAUUCCUGCCUUCAUAAAUCAAGCUCUAAAUCUCCAGGAAAAAAUGUGCUCAGGAUGGCCAGAGAAAUGUCCUUCCAACUGUGCAUGGAAAGGUAUGAUUUUGUGCAGCAGGUGAAGGACUGGUUAGAGUAAGUGUGUGCUGAGCUUUUGUGUUUGAAAGCGAGCCUGUGCACUUCUAACGAUUGGAAGGUUUCCUUGCCUUCUCCGAUCUUACACACAGCAAGGACAGCAAAGCCUUCCAGACCUGCCUGUGACAUGCACUGCACAUUCUAAAGAUGCCUAUGCAAUGGAAAACACCACUGUCUGCUCCAGCACAGCUGCCAUUCUUCCAUCUUAUCGACCUUAAUGCAACAACUCCUCACAGGCAGAGAUUUUAAAAUGUGUUCUUGGCAGAAGAGAGACUCAAAGAUGGGACAAAUGUGUCAUUUAAAUGCCUGUUAAAAUGGAAACAGACAUAGUAUAGUCAGAGGAUUGUGGCAGCUAAGAACAUAGUCUCUGGAGCAAAUCUGCAUGGGUGGCAAUGCCAAGCACAUGAGGUCCUAGUUGUAUGAACUUAGGAAAAGAAAAAGAGAACAUAUAUCCCCCUACCUUUUGAUUUCCAACAGUCUACUGAGAGGCCAAGAUUAUUUGCAGGGAAAGAAAAGGGGAAUGCCAUCCCCACCCUCUCGCAGCUACGUGCCAGUUCCAGAGCACCUGUUCCCCUCUACUUUGAAAAGGUCAAAAUGUUUUGCCAGUAACUCCCAAAUCAUCUACAGCCAAGGAGAAAAGUGUUUCAAGACAGAGGUGCUCAAUGGUAUCAAAUACUGCCAACAGACCAAGUAAUACAUGCAUUGAAGUGUCUACUGGAUCUAGCUAUAUGAAUUUUUAAUUUAGGACACUUAGGCCAUACUGAAGCAAGGUGACAAAAUGAAUAGCUACAAUGUCUCGUGAAUCUUGGGUUUCCAUUCACCCUGGUAUUCAAGAGAAAUUCUUGCAUCAUGGAAGUUGCAGUUGGAUAGGACUUUCUCAGCUGAACACUGUCAUCUGCCAGAGCUUCAGGCAAGAACCCAGAACAGAUGAAACCCCAGACAUGACAAAAUAAGCCAAAGAAUACCAGGCCAAGGUGUGAAAGGCCAGAUGAGAACAAGCAGCGUACACGAUUCUGUUGCCAACAGAUCUCCCCUAACAGUGUCGUGCACCAAAUUUCCACAGUGAAUGUCAGGAAAAAAUGGCAAUUGAGGUGGGUGGUCAAAAGAGAAGCACAGUCUAUGAUGAAGUCACCCCAGAGAAGUCCUUUUUCCGUUUUCUCCUGAGAAAUUACCAGAAGAAAUUAAAAUCCUUUUGAGUAUUGCA